CUGGGGGGCAGCAGUGAGGAAUAUUGGUCAAUGGGAGAGAUCCUGAAUCAGCCAAGUCGCGUGAGGGAUGACGGCCCUACGGGUUGUAAACCUCUUUUGUCGGGGAGCAAGACCCGCCACGAGUGGCGGAGCGAGAGUACCCGAAGAAAAAGCAUCGGCUAACUCCGUGCCAGCAGCCGCGGUAAUACGGAGGAUGCGAGCGUUAUCCGGAUUUAUUGGGUUUAAAGGGGGCGCAGGCGGACCAUCAAGUCAGCGGUAAAAUCGUGGGGCCCAACCCCAUCCCGCCGUUGAAACUGGCGGGUCUG
rnacentral:rRNA from 1 species